UUAAGCGACUAAGCGUACACGGUGGAUGCCCUGGCAGUCAGAGGCGAUGAAGGACGUGCUAAUCUGCGAUAAGCGUCGGUAAGGUGAUAUGAACCGUUAUAACCGGCGAUUUCCGAAUGGGGAAACCCAGUGUGUUUCGACACACUAUCAUUAACUGAAUCCAUAGGUUAAUGAGGCGAACCGGGGGAACUGAAACAUCUAAGUACCCCGAGGAAAAGAAAUCAACCGAGAUUCCCCCAGUAGCGGCGAGCGAACGGGGAGCAGCCCAGAGCCUGAAUCAGUGUGUGUGUUAGUGGAAGCGUCUGGAAAGGCGCGCGAUACAGGGUGACAGCCCCGUACACAAAAAUGCACAUGCUGUGAGCUCGAUGAGUAGGGCGGGACACGUGGUAUCCUGUCUGAAUAUGGGGGGACCAUCCUCCAAGGCUAAAUACUCCUGACUGACCGAUAGUGAACCAGUACCGUGAGGGAAAGGCGAAAAGAACCCCGGCGAGGGGAGUGAAAAAGAACCUGAAACCGUGUACGUACAAGCAGUGGGAGCACGCUUAGGCGUGUGACUGCGUACCUUUUGUAUAAUGGGUCAGCGACUUAUAUUCUGUAGCAAGGUUAACCGAAUAGGGGAGCCGAAGGGAAACCGAGUCUUAACUGGGCGUUAAGUUGCAGGGUAUAGACCCGAAACCCGGUGAUCUAGCCAUGGGCAGGUUGAAGGUUGGGUAACACUAACUGGAGGACCGAACCGACUAAUGUUGAAAAAUUAGCGGAUGACUUGUGGCUGGGGGUGAAAGGCCAAUCAAACCGGGAGAUAGCUGGUUCUCCCCGAAAGCUAUUUAGGUAGCGCCUCGUGAAUUCAUCUCCGGGGGUAGAGCACUGUUUCGGCAAGGGGGUCAUCCCGACUUACCAACCCGAUGCAAACUGCGAAUACCGGAGAAUGUUAUCACGGGAGACACACGGCGGGUGCUAACGUCCGUCGUGAAGAGGGAAACAACCCAGACCGCCAGCUAAGGUCCCAAAGUCAUGGUUAAGUGGGAAACGAUGUGGGAAGGCCCAGACAGCCAGGAUGUUGGCUUAGAAGCAGCCAUCAUUUAAAGAAAGCGUAAUAGCUCACUGGUCGAGUCGGCCUGCGCGGAAGAUGUAACGGGGCUAAACCAUGCACCGAAGCUGCGGCAGCGACACUGUGUGUUGUUGGGUAGGGGAGCGUUCUGUAAGCCUGUGAAGGUGUACUGUGAGGUAUGCUGGAGGUAUCAGAAGUGCGAAUGCUGACAUAAGUAACGAUAAAGCGGGUGAAAAGCCCGCUCGCCGGAAGACCAAGGGUUCCUGUCCAACGUUAAUCGGGGCAGGGUGAGUCGACCCCUAAGGCGAGGCCGAAAGGCGUAGUCGAUGGGAAACAGGUUAAUAUUCCUGUACUUGGUGUUACUGCGAAGGGGGGACGGAGAAGGCUAUGUUGGCCGGGCGACGGUUGUCCCGGUUUAAGCGUGUAGGCUGGUUUUCCAGGCAAAUCCGGAAAAUCAAGGCUGAGGCGUGAUGACGAGGCACUACGGUGCUGAAGCAACAAAUGCCCUGCUUCCAGGAAAAGCCUCUAAGCAUCAGGUAACAUCAAAUCGUACCCCAAACCGACACAGGUGGUCAGGUAGAGAAUACCAAGGCGCUUGAGAGAACUCGGGUGAAGGAACUAGGCAAAAUGGUGCCGUAACUUCGGGAGAAGGCACGCUGAUAUGUAGGUGAAGUCCCUCGCGGAUGGAGCUGAAAUCAGUCGAAGAUACCAGCUGGCUGCAACUGUUUAUUAAAAACACAGCACUGUGCAAACACGAAAGUGGACGUAUACGGUGUGACGCCUGCCCGGUGCCGGAAGGUUAAUUGAUGGGGUCAGCGCAAGCGAAGCUCUUGAUCGAAGCCCCGGUAAACGGCGGCCGUAACUAUAACGGUCCUAAGGUAGCGAAAUUCCUUGUCGGGUAAGUUCCGACCUGCACGAAUGGCGUAAUGAUGGCCAGGCUGUCUCCACCCGAGACUCAGUGAAAUUGAACUCGCUGUGAAGAUGCAGUGUACCCGCGGCAAGACGGAAAGACCCCGUGAACCUUUACUAUAGCUUGACACUGAACAUUGAGCCUUGAUGUGUAGGAUAGGUGGGAGGCUUAGAAGUGUGGACGCCAGUCUGCAUGGAGCCGACCUUGAAAUACCACCCUUUAAUGUUUGAUGUUCUAACGUUGACCCGUAAUCCGGGUUGCGGACAGUGUCUGGUGGGUAGUUUGACUGGGGCGGUCUCCUCCUAAAGAGUAACGGAGGAGCACGAAGGUUGGCUAAUCCUGGUCGGACAUCAGGAGGUUAGUGCAAUGGCAUAAGCCAGCUUGACUGCGAGCGUGACGGCGCGAGCAGGUGCGAAAGCAGGUCAUAGUGAUCCGGUGGUUCUGAAUGGAAGGGCCAUCGCUCAACGGAUAAAAGGUACUCCGGGGAUAACAGGCUGAUACCGCCCAAGAGUUCAUAUCGACGGCGGUGUUUGGCACCUCGAUGUCGGCUCAUCACAUCCUGGGGCUGAAGUAGGUCCCAAGGGUAUGGCUGUUCGCCAUUUAAAGUGGUACGCGAGCUGGGUUUAGAACGUCGUGAGACAGUUCGGUCCCUAUCUGCCGUGGGCGCUGGAGAACUGAGGGGGGCUGCUCCUAGUACGAGAGGACCGGAGUGGACGCAUCACUGGUGUUCGGGUUGUCAUGCCAAUGGCACUGCCCGGUAGCUAAAUGCGGAAGAGAUAAGUGCUGAAAGCAUCUAAGCACGAAACUUGCCCCGAGAUGAGUUCUCCCUGACUCCUUGAGAGUCCUGAAGGAACGUUGAAGACGACGACGUUGAUAGGCCGGGUGUGUAAGCGCAGCGAUGCGUUGAGCUAACCGGUACUAAUGAACCGUGAGGCUUAACCU
rnacentral:rRNA from 1 species